UUCAUGAAUGGGAUACAAACUGGAACAAUGUUUCAAUGGCGCCAUCUAGCGUUCAUUCUAGGAAAACAACUGGCUCCCUGUAGGCCAAUUCACACCUCUGGAAGUACUGUAGUAAAUGUAGUAACAUCAGCUGUCAGUGAUGAAGCAGAGGCGCAUCACAUGUGCUGUGUGUCGCAAGCCAGGGGUUACGAAGUACGGAGCGACAUAUGACUCGCAAAGCACAAAAUCGUCCAACAGAUGACGCCAAAUCCCCGGAUUUAACCUUGGUGCAUCUUUCAGAGUCCAACUGCAGACCACCUGCACUGAAGAAAGAGGUUCGAAAUGUACAAAACACCCACCGGACUCCAGUUGUGUCACUGCCUCUGGUCGUCCUCCUGAUCGGCCUCAGAAUCCGCCCUACAGCUCUGACCUGAUGGACCUUUAACAGAUGAGUCACUAUGCAUUCAUUAUAUGUCACUAUGUGAUUCACAGGUCAAGCGGUAUUGGCUUGGGCCCAGUUUUGAAUAAUAGGGGGAAAGAUUCUUGUAAAACCCCACAAAUGUUUAUUUGUAUCCAGCAAGGGAAAUAUUUUAAACAUCACGUUAAAUAUAUAUUCCAGCGAUGUCAUAGCUGGUAACUUAAAACACAGUAAAAAAUUGUUUAUAGUAAUCCAUAGGACUAUGGAUAUUUCAAAUUAAAGAAAAGGGAACAGGACAAAAUACAGUGAGGGGUUUCUUAAAUUGC